rnacentral:rRNA from 1 species
GCGAUCGUACCACGUUAGAAAUGCCGGUUCUUGUUCAAUCACCGAAACUAAGCAACUUUGAACCCGCGUUAAUACUGGUAUGGUGGUAAUCUACUAAGAAUAUCGGGUGUUGCGGCU